rnacentral:rRNA from 1 species
AUUGAACGCUGGCGGCAGGCCUAACACAUGCAAGUCGAGCGAGCGGCGGACGGGUGAGUAAUGUAUGGGGACUGCCCGAUAGAGGGGGAUAACUACUGGAAACGGUAGCUAAUACCGCAUACCAUCAGAUAGCUCAUAUGGGAUUAGCUAGUCGGUGAGGUAAUGGCUCACCUCGGCUACGAUCCCUAGCUGGUCUGAGAGGAUGAUCAGCCACACUGGGACUUAGACACGGCCCAGACUCCUACGGAGGCAGCAGUGGGGAAUAUGGCACAAUGGUCGCAAGCCUGAUGCAGCCAUGCCGCGUGUAUGAAGAAGGCCCUAGGGUUGUAGAGUACUUUCAGUCGGGAGGCGUUACCGGCAGAAGAAGCACCGGCUAACUCCGUGCCAGCAGCCGCGGUAAUAC